GGAAACGCGGGGCUCGCAGCAUAGGUAGUACGGAGAUGUCAAGCGUAAAGCGGAAUAAGUGGGCGUGAAGCGCACGCAGGCGGUUGUCUAAAAGAUAUGGGCGAGCGUCGGGCUCAACCGGGGAAUUGCAUUGAAACCUGUUCAGCUGGAGUCGUGUAGAGGGGGGUAGAAUUCCAGGUGUAGCGGGGAAAUGCGUAGAGGUCGGGGGGAAUAGCGGUGGCGAAGGCGGCCCCCUGGACAAAGACUGACGCUCAGGUGCGAAAGCGUGGGGAGCAAACAGGAUUAGAUACCCUGGUAGUC
rnacentral:rRNA from 1 species